GCCCAGCGGCCUCAUACCCUGAGCUGGUGAGCCAACGUACAAUCUGUUACCUCCAAAAUUGCUAGUUACACAAGGUAAUUAGAUGCCUUUACUAUUUACUAGGUUUUCAGUUACUGGCAGCUUUAUGCUAUAGUAUCAACAGCCCUGUGGAGCAAAUCACAGAUGAAGAGGCUGAAGGACAGAAAAACUUAGCUUCCUCCAAGCCACACAGCCAGGAAGUGACAGACACAUAAUUGCAACCGAAGCCCUUACUCUCUAAUGCUGACCAGAACCCGCUGAAGUGCAAAGCAUGCUGGGAGAACUCAUGGCAUCAAAGGAUGAACUCAACAAGCAGGAAGGCAAGAACCGGGACAGCCUCAGGGCCAACAUCCAAAAAGCACUGUCAAGAGAGUCCAAUUGGUCCCAGAUACCCAUUGUUAGAACUGAAGGGAGCUGGCAGAGGACGAGAUAGAGCCAACAAAUCCCCAGCUGGAAGAGAGAAGAGGCAGUAUACGUCACAGCUGGUGCCGUGGACGGAUUGGAGGGGACAUGGGUGGGUGAGGAGGAGAGCCAGAGGUGGAGACAGAGGGUAAAUGAAAAGGGGAGUAAAGGAGACAAGGUCAGACAAGCAACUGUUUCAAGCUAGGAGAUCACCAGUGAUUUUAAGAUGAUGUAAAGCAGGAACCAUGAAAUGUACUGUUCUCAAUUCUGUCUUCCUGUCAAUAAAACCAGGAGUGCCAGAUAGCAUCUGAGACCAGAUAACCAUA